AUUGCACAAUGGGCGCAAGCCUGAUGCAGCGACGCCGCGUGCGGGAUGACGGCCUUCGGGUUGUAAACCGCUUUUGAUCGGGAGCAAGCCUUCGGGUGAGUGUACCUUUCGAAUAAGCACCGGCUAACUACGUGCCAGCAGCCGCGGUAAUACGUAGGGUGCAAGCGUUAUCCGGAAUUAUUGGGCGUAAAGGGCUCGUAGGCGGUUCGUCGCGUCCGGUGUGAAAGUCCAUCGCUUAACGGUGGAUCUGCGCCGGGUACGGGCGGGCUGGAGUGCGGUAGGGGAGACUGGAAUUCCCGGUGUAACGGUGGAAUGUGUAGAUAUCGGGAAGAACACCAAUGGCGAAGGCAGGUCUCUGGGCCGUUACUGACGCUGAGGAGCGAAAGCGUGGGGAGCGAACAGGAUUAGAUACCCUGGUAGUCCACGCCGUAAACGGUGGAUGCUGGAUGUGGGGCCCGUUCCACGGGUUCCGUGUCGGAGCUAACGCGUUAAGCAUCCCGCCUGGGGAGUACGGCCGCAAGGCUAAAACUCAAAGAAAUUGACGGGGGCCCGCACAAGCGGCGGAGCAUGCGGAUUAAUUCGAUGCAACGCGAAGAACCUUACCUGGGCUUGACAUGUUCCCGACAGCCGUAGAGAUGCGGCCUCCCUUCGGGGCGGGUUCACAGGUGGUGCAUGGUCGUCGUCAGCUCGUGUCGUGAGAUGUUGGGUUAAGUCCCGCAACGAGCGCAACCCUCGCCCUGUGUUGCCAGCACGUCAUGGUGGGAACUCACGGGGGACCGCCGGGGUCAACUCGGAGGAAGGUGGGGAUGACGUCAGAUCAUCAUGCCCCUUACGUCCAGGGCUUCACGCAUGCUACAAUGGCCGGUACAACGGGAUGCGACGCGGCGACGCGGAGCGGAUCCCUGAAAACCGGUCUCAGUUCGGAUUGGAGUCUGCAACCCGACUCCAUGAAGGCGGAGUCGCUAGUAAUCGCGGAUCAGCAACGCCGCGGUGAAUGCGUUCCCGGGCCUUGUACACACCGCCCGUCAAGUCAUGAAAGUGGGCAGCACCCGAAGCCGGUGGCCUAACCCCUUGUGGGAUGGAGCCGUCUAAGGUGAGACUCGUGAUUGGGACUAAGUCGUAACAAGGUAGCCGUACCGGAAGGUGCGGCUG
rnacentral:rRNA from 1 species